GACGAACGCUGGCGGCGUGCUUAACACAUGCAAGUCGAACGGAAAGGCCCUGCUUUUGUGGGGUGCUCGAGUGGCGAACGGGUGAGUAACACGUGAGUAACCUGCCCUUGACUUUGGGAUAACUUCAGGAAACUGGGGCUAAUACCGGAUAGGAGCUCCUGCUGCAUGGUGGGGGUUGGAAAGUUUCGGCGGUUGGGGUAGGACUCGCGGCUUAUCAGCUUGUUGGUGGGGUAGUGGCUUACCAAGGCUUUGACGGGUAGCCGGCCUGAGAGGGUGACCGGGCACAUUGGGACUGAGAUACGGCCCAGACUCCUACGGGAGGCAGCAGUGGGGAAUAUUGCACGAUGGGCGGAAGCCUGAUGCAGCAACGCCGCGUGCGGGAUGACGGCCUUCGGGUUGGAAACCGCUUUCGCCUGUGACGAAGCGUGAGUGACGGUAAUGGGUAAAGAAGCACCGGCUAACUACGUG
rnacentral:rRNA from 1 species